AUAAUUUAAAGUUGCAGAUUAUACAAAAAGAUGUCUGUACAUCUUCUGAAUCCAAAGCAGUCAAUCUGAUCAUGUUUCUAACACUACCACACUCACAAUAUUUUCACUGGCACACAUCUGCUUUCUCUAGUGACCACAAUAAAGUCUACAAUUUCUCUGCCUAGAACAAUAGAUAUUGAAUGCUAAUACGAAUGUAAUUAUACACCUUUGACAGACACUGAUCUGUGAGAGAGAAGGAAACAGCCCCUCAUUGGAUCAUGCCUGGCACAAAAAGUAAUAACAUAAAAAAGACAGCUAAGCUUCACGAACCUCAAAGCUAAGAUGAACAAUGCAGGUUUGCAAUAGUGCAACCACACAUUUUUUGCCACUUGUCAGACUAAUACCAUAGCAAAAUCCAAGCAACAAAAUUUGAUCUGGUCUGUAGCUUCAGAAACAUCCUGAAAUACAGUCAACUGAUUUUUAUUUUAAGGUGUGACUACAGAACUCGGACUGAGUCUAUCACCUGUUUUUGGAAAGGUUCUACAUUAAUGGGGACUCACUGGUCCAUCAUAGAUACUGAAUCUCAACACAGCACUGGCUAGACACCAGCCUACCAGAACUUCACUUUACUGCAGCACCAAGUUGAUCUGAAAUUGAAUCAAGAAGACAAAAUAAAGAUAUUCACAAAUUCAAUUACAUAUAGGAAUGAGUAUGGAACCUGGGAAAUUCCUUUGUCAGAUGCAUAUAGCUUUUUAGCUCAGAAGAGCUCUUAGUGUCAAGCACACAC